rnacentral:lncRNA from 1 species
UCAUUCUUCCACCACUGAAUGACCCUCCUGGACCUCGACCACACUGGACCCUACCUUGUCCUCUAACUCACUCACUAUUGCGCCUGCUCUUUAUCAUGUCAUCAAGUGACAUAUCCAAAGAAGCCAUUCAAAUGCAGAUUCUACAAAUCUAUUCCAAAUAAAGAAACCUGUCAAAACCACCAAAACAAAAUUUAUAAACAUUUAAUAAUAGGAAAUUCUUCUUGGAGAUGGUUUGCACCAACACAUUUCUCCCAUUCCCAUUUGUAUUGAAACCUCAAUACCAUCAUAAAUAUUCAAACAAAGUGGAUAUCCAUCUUGAUAUAUUUUUGUUUCUGCAAGAUUGAUGAUACUAGGUUACAUAGUAACAUCCAGAAUGAUAUUAAUUAUAGGAGGCAUAUUUAAGAAAAGACCCUAUUCUCAAAGCAGGCAUUAGGUCACACCUAUU